rnacentral:tRNA from 1 species
AAGAAAUUAGUUAAAAAAUAACAUUAAUAUGUCAUAUUAAAAUUAUUAAACUAUAAAUAAUAUUUCUUA